AUUGAACGCUGGCGGCAUGCUUUACACAUGCAAGUCGAACGGCAGCGCGGGGCAACCUGGCGGCGAGUGGCGAACGGGUGAGUAAUACAUCGGAACGUACCCAGAAGUGGGGGAUAACGUAGCGAAAGUUACGCUAAUACCGCAUACGUUCUACGGAAGAAAGUGGGGGAUCUUCGGACCUCAUGCUUUUGGAGCGGCCGAUGUCUGAUUAGCUAGUUGGCGAGGUAAAGGCUCACCAAGGCGACGAUCAGUAGCUGGUCUGAGAGGACGACCAGCACAACUGGGGCUGAGACACGGCCCAGACUCCUAGGGGAGGCAGCAGGGGGGAAUUUUGGACAAUGGGCGCAAGCCUGAUCCAGCAAUGCCGCGUGAGUGAAGAAGGCCUUCGGGUUGUAAAGCUCUUUUGUCAGGGAAGAAACGGUUGGGGCUAAUAUCCCCGGCUAUGACGGUACCUGAAGAAUAAGCACCGGCUAACUACGUGCCAGCAGCCGCCGUAAAAC
rnacentral:rRNA from 1 species